rnacentral:rRNA from 1 species
GACGAACGCUGGCGGCGUGCCUAAAACAUGCAAGUCGAACGGUGUAGCAAUACACAGUGGCGAACGGCGGAGUAAUACAUGAACAACGUGCCCGGAAGACUGGGAUAGUCAGGGGAAACCCUGGGUAAUACCAGAUGUGGCCGAUCUUUGGCAUCUUAGAUCGAUUAAAGGGUUUUCCGCUUCCGGAGCGGUUCAUGGCCUAUCAGGUAGUUGGUGAGGUAAAGGCUCACCAAGCCGACGACGGGAGCGGGUCUGAGAGGAUGAUCCGCUCGAGUGGGACUGAGACACGGCCCACACACCUACGGGUGGCAGCAGUUGGGAAUCUUGCACAAUGGGGGAAACCCUGAUGCAGCGACGCCGCGUGGAGGAUGACGGAUCUAGGUCUG